rnacentral:tRNA from 1 species
GCUGAGGUAGCCUAGCCUGGUAGGGCGCCGGUCUUGAAAACCGGUGGCGUUCCGCCUCGGGAGUUCAAAUCUCCCCCUCAGCG